rnacentral:rRNA from 1 species
AUUGAACGCUGGCGGCAUGCCUUACACAUGCAAGUCGAACGGCAGCACGGGUGCUUGCACCUGGUGGCGAGUGGCGAACGGGUGAGUAAUAUAUCGGAACGUACCUUAUUGUGGGGGAUAACGCAGAGAAAGCUGUGCUAAUACCGCAUAAUCCCUAAGGGGGAAAGCGGGGGACCGUAAGGCCUCGCGCAAUUAGAGCGGCCGAUACCUGAUUAGCUAGUUGGUGAGGUAAAGGCUGACCAAGGCAACGAUCAGUAGCUGGUCUGAGAGGACGAUCAGCCACACUGGGACUGAGACACGGCCCAGACUCCUACGGGAGGCAGCAGUGGGGAAUUUUGGACAAUGGGGGCAACCCUGAUCCAGCAAUGCCGCGUGAGUGAAGAAGGCCUUCGGGUUGUAAAGCUCUUUUGUCAGGGAAGAAACAGCAGCUCUAACACAGUAUGCGAAUGACGGUACCUGAAGAAUAAGCACCGGCUAACUACGUGCCAGCCGCCGCAGUAA